AACGAACGCUGGCGGCAUGCCUAACACAUGCAAGUCGAACGAGACCUUCGGGUCUAGUGGCGAACGGGUGCGUAACGCGUGGGAACCUGCCCUUAGGUUCGGAAUAACUCCCCGAAAGGGGUGCUAAUACCGGAUAAUGUCUUCGGACCAAAGAUUUAUCGCCUUUGGAUGGGCCCGCGUUGGAUUAGCUAGUUGGUAGGGUAAAAGCCUACCAAGGCGACGAUCCAUAGCUGGUCUGAGAGGAUGAUCAGCCACACUGGGACUGAGACACGGCCCAGACUCCUACGGGAGGCAGCAGUAGGGAAUAUUGGACAAUGGGCGAAAGCCUGAUCCAGCAAUGCCGCGUGAGUGAUGAAGGCCUUAGGGUUGUAAAGCUCUUUUACCCGGGAUGAUAAUGACAGUACCGGGAGAAUAAGCUCCGGCUAACUCCGU
rnacentral:rRNA from 1 species